UCUUUAAUAUUUCUUCUGCAGGAGCCUCUCACCAAUCAACACCUAUCCUAUCGUUCCCUCGAGGAUUGGUAGAAGAAUCGGAGAAGAGGUGACAGAUGGGAUUUAAGAAAGUAGUAAGAGGAUGACCAGGGAGAAUUCUGACCUUCUGAAACAAGUUCCCCCGAACAGGCAAGAACAGUUUUCACUUUCACGAUGGAUGAAGCAAAGAGUUGCAGAACCAGGCUGACGAGGCAGGGCUUGACCACAUCAAAAUGGAACAUCUUCUGAGUGAUCGCUUCAAAGGAUGCUUGUAACCUGGUGAAUUCAAAGACCUUCCCGGAGAGUUGGAAACAUUAAAACCUCCCAGCAUGCAGAAACAUGGCCUAUUCUCUUUCCACUAGGCUGGCCGCUUAUCUCAACUACUGACAAAAUCACCACAGCAGAGACCAGAAAAUGCCAAAAUGCCAAACCAGAUGGCAUACCUGCUGAGACCUACACACACACAGAGGGACAGGCUGCCUAAACACUUAAAUAACCUAUUCCACAACCCAUGGAAGACUGAACCUUGAAGAUGCUAGAUUAAACGGCAGCAACUAUAAAGAACCGCACAGGUGAAAAACGGGAGACAACUGCAUUGAACAGACCGGCUCGGCUGACUAUAAUCAAGAAAGGACCACCAGGACUCUAAGUACCAUAAUUUCAGCACACAUAAGGGUACUUGACCAUCACUGACAUCUUUUGAGUACAAAAGAUGAGAUAACUGAGGAACAGAGAAGUCAAGUGACUCGCCCAAAG